rnacentral:rRNA from 1 species
UACAGAGGGUGCAAACGUUGCUCGGAAUUAUUGGGCGUAAAGUGUGCGCAGGCGGCAGAGCAAGUCGAGUGUGAAAGCCCCGGGCUUAACUUGGGAAUUGCGCUCGAAACUACUUUGCUGGAGUGUGGCAGAGGAAGGUGGAAUUCCACGUGUAGCGGUGAAAUGCGUAGAGAUGUGGAGGAACACCAAUGGCGAAGGCAGCCUUCUGGGCCAACACUGACGCUCAUGCACGAAAGCGUGGGGAGCAAACAGG